UGAUGUUGAAGGACUUCUACCAGAGGAAGACACUGGUCUACCAACCGAAGAAGCCGAGGGUGAUUUAUCGGAUUCAGAGGAAUUUUGGAAGCCAUUUAUUGCAUCCUCACCAGUUGAGAAGUCAAUCAAAGCUAACAAUGGUUAUGUUCCAUGAAAGGAGCACAAGUCUAAUCUUAAGAAUGAUGACUCCGAAGACAUUGGUGAAGCCAACUUUGUGAAAGCAUCCAAUUCUGAACUCAAGUCGUCGAAGUCAGGGAAGAGGAAUAAAUGGAAACCUGAAGAAAUUAAGAAGUUGAUCAACAUGUGUGGAAAACUACACAAUAGAUUUCAAAUUGUGAAGGGAAGGAUGGCUUUAUGGGAAGAGAUAUCUCAGAGCUUGUUGGCUGAUGGGAUCAGCAGAAGUCCUGGACAGUGUAAAUCGCUUUGGACAUCUUUGGUACAGAAAUAUCAGGAGAUCAAGAACGAGAAGGGUAGUGUAGCAAGAAUAGUUGGCAAUAUCUUGAGGACAUGGAAAAGAUAAUGCCUGAUAGUGAAGCAAUGACAACAAAAUGAUGAAAAAAGUUGGUAAAGGAAGGAACAUGAUAAAAAGAACAUAUAUAUAAAAAAGAAACACUUUGGGAUGUUUCCACAUGAAGAUUGAUACCAAGUGUGUGGAUGUUAACAGUGCUGAAAGUUGCAUCAGUUGCAUGAUUUGUGGUAUGGACUCAUGGCAUUCAAGAUCCAUAGUUUUGUGAGGGCUGAAGAUAUAGACAACAUUAAAGGGAAGUCAAUGAGGGUAGUAUUUUUGUUUGGGGGACUGCUGAUAUAAUAUCCCACCAUAGUUACCCUCCCACUUAUUUAUAUCCCUUUUCCUAAUGAUGUAUCAUAUCUAAUUUUAUUAUUUUUUUUAUAUGGGAACAUCGGCACAAUAAGCAACCAUGGACAACAGUUAAAUAGUGAAGGGAAAAAUCUUUGAUGUUU